GUUUUAGCUCAGUGGUCGAACGUUGGCUUUGGAAGCCACAGGUCGGUGGUUCGAACCCACCAGGGCACA
rnacentral:tRNA from 1 species